UACGUAGGGGGCAAGCGUUGUCCGGAAUCAUUGGGCGUAAAGCGCGCGUAGGCGGUCCGGUAAGUCCGCUGUGAAAGUCGGGGGCUCAACCCUCGAAUGCCGGUGGAUACUGUCGGGCUAGAGUGCGGCAGAGGGGGAUGGAAUUCCGCGUGUAGCAGUGAAAUGCGCAGAUAUCGAGGAGGAACACCGGUGGCGAAGGCGGGUCUCUGGGCCGUAACUGACGCUGAGGAGCGAAAGCAUGGGGAGCGAACAGG
rnacentral:rRNA from 1 species